UUUGCCUGCUGUUCCUAAGUUAGGAGAAAUACUGCCUGGUCCAGCAGGUCGGAGGACCUUACCUUUGCAUGGGGCCCACCGUGAAUGUGAAAUGAACUGUGAAUCUUUGUUUUUCCUGGACCAAACUAAAGUGAACUUCAUUCCUGUCUGAUCUUUCCCCAUCUUCAAAAGUGGAAGCACUGGAAGCUCCUUUGUUCAAGGAUAAGCCAUUUUUCUCAUGGAUCAGCUGGGUCAUGAGUUACUGGUAAAUGAAAAAAAUUUUUUGAACAUUUUAUAAAGGCUGUACUUUGUAUAUAGCUUUGUGUUUGGGAAAGAAAUACUAAUGGCGCAUCAUCAAAGACUGGCAACAUUCGGC
ensembl:lncRNA